AUGGGAGGCAGUGCUGGCCAAGGGCUGAGGAGCCCAUCUGUCCUAGCACUAGGAUUUUCUGAGAGAGGCAGAGGACCAGAGAGAGAGAGUCUGAUCGGAGUACUCACCCAGAGAUCAGGGACCGGUGUGGAUGCAGGGUGUCAGCAACGGCAAAGGUGGUCCUCCUCCAAUCAGCUGGAAGGCUUUAGGAGCAAAGCAGAGGAAUGUCAACAACCGGUGAAUCUACGUGAAGGACAUGUAGACAUUUAAUACAACAGCUUUUUGAAGUUUUAAUUCUUUUUCAAAAUAAAAAAAUGUAAAGGGAAGGAGG
rnacentral:lncRNA from 1 species